rnacentral:snRNA from 1 species
GUGCUUACUUUGGCAACACAUAUACUAAAAUUGGAAUGAUACGGAGAUUAGCAUUGUCCCUAGUUAAGGAUGACACACAAAUUCAUGAAGCAUUAUAUAUAUAU